GUGGAAGAUGUCAAGAUGGAAGAGUGAAGGCCGAGCCGUCAACACAAGCCGGUCUUCCCCUACGUCCAGAACCAGAGAACGAGAGGACGGCUGCACAGGACACAAGUUCACUCAAAUGUAACUGUGUUACCUUACAAAACUGCUCAAA